rnacentral:rRNA from 1 species
UACGGAGGGGGCGAGCGUUAUUCGGAAUUAUUGGGCGUAAAGCGCGCGUAGGCGGCUCGAUCAGUCUGCUGUGAAAGUCAAAGGCUCAACCUUUGAAUGCCGGUGGAUACUGUCGAGCUAGAGUCCGGAAGAGGCGGGUGGAAUUCCUGGUGUAGCGGUGGAAUGCGCAGAUAUCAGGAGGAACACCAACGGCGAAGGCAGCCCGCUGGGACGGUACUGACGCUAAGGCGCGAAAGCGUGGGGAGCGAACAGG